CAACAGGUUUCCAUGACAGCAAACAUUAACUCUCCUGCAGCACAGCCUGUUAUUUCUGCUACAAACACAAAGCUUUCACUCAUACACUGUAACCCAGCCCAGCUACCCCCAUGAAAAAAGAUCCCUGAAAUAUGCUAAGAGACAUUUAAAUCAACAGCUCUAUUUCCUUUGUCCUGUGAUCCUGCCUCGGAACACGCACACUACUGAACUGAGCGGGAAUGCUGUCAGCUCCCCUAGAGGGACACUGCCACCAGGUCUGAGCUCAGAGCUCUGCCAGCCCUCUACACCACAAAUCCAGUGAUGCAGCAGGAUGAUGCAGACUCCACUCUCAUAAAGACACUGGAUAAAGCUUGCAAAGUUAUAAAAAGCUGAUUAAAUUGCUCAACCUUCAAAAACCAGGGUGUCUUCAACUACUAGAAAGCUGAUCAUCUCAACAGACUGUACAAGUAUUUUGCACCCCACAAUUACCCUGCUGGUUUGUCUGGGGACCCUGCCUUGCUAUACCCAGAUUGCCAAUGGCAGGCUCCUAACUCAGCCCAGCUCUACGAGCGUUGUUUGCUGCUUUUCCUUAGGUAGCGUCGUGUACCAUUUCUGAAGCCUUAACUUCCCCUGCCGACUGAACAGCAGUAUAAAGUGUAUCUAGAGUAAACAAAG